rnacentral:lncRNA from 1 species
CCACUUCCCACACGCAACAAUAGCUCAUGGGUACCACAGAUAACUUUGCCAAAGUUCUCUGCCAAAGUUGAGCACGUGAAGCUUGCAGCUCCCUCUACAUCGCUCUGACCAAGAAGGGUAAAAGAAUAGCAAAGAAACAGCACUAACAAAGUUUAGACCCAUAAAUUUUGAAGGUCUAGCUAUCAUAUUAUUACCCACAAGGGUAAAGGAACAGUACCACUGCUGGAUAAUUGGAAAGUCCCUGUGUGUCAACCUCUGUGCUUCGCGGCAAGGUAGACUAGCAAACAUGCCCAACCUUUACUCACAUUCGAGAAAACACUCCCAAUAAGAUUGCUUGCUCCAAAAUCGAAGAGGCACCGUCCUCCGAAUCUCGAGAGCCAGACUCCCAACAUGACUACUUUCUUAAAAAUCGAAGAGAGGGUAAAGGAACAGUACCAUUGCUGGAUAAUUGGAAAGUCCCUGUGUGUCAACCUCUGUGCUUCGUGGCAAGGUAGACUAGCAAACAUGCCCAACCUUUACUCACAUUCGAGAAAACACUCCCAACAAGAUUGCUUGCUCCAAAAUCGAAGAGGCACCGCCCUCCGAAUCUCGAGAGCCAGACUCCCAACAUGAUUACUUUCUCAAAAAUCGAAGAGACACUACUCCCCGAAUCUUCGAGAGCCAGACCCCCAGCAUGAUUGCUUUCUCAAAAAUCGAUGAGGCAUCGUUCUCCGAAUCAAUCGAAGAGGCGCUCGCUUUCUCAAAAGCUGGGCUGCUCAGAGACCAUGAGGGCCGAUCUCAGAAAUCGAAGAGGCACCUACUUUUCUAGCCUUGUCAGCACCUGUCACACGCACACUCAGCUUUGCGGAAAUUAUGGGCAUUCUGUCGAAGACUUCUAGUGAAGUAGAAAGCACAUGAAUCUUACUGUUCAAUCACCCACUUCCCACACGCAACAAUAGCUCAUGGGUACCACAGAUAACUUUGCCAAAGUUCUCUGCCAAAGUUGAGCACGUGAAGCUUGCAGCUCCCACUACAUCGCUCUGACCAAGAAAGGUAAAAGAAUAGCAAAGAAACAGCACUAACAAAGUUUAGACACAUAAAUUUUGAAGGUCUAGCUACCAUAUUAUUACCCACAAGGGUAAAGGAACAGUACCACUGCUGGAUAAUUGGAAAGU